CCUACGGGCGGCUGCAGUGAGGAAUAUUGGUCAAUGGCCGGGAGGCUGAACCAGCCAAGUCGCGUGAGGGAAGACGGCCCUACGGGUUGUAAACCUCUUUUGUCAGGUAGCAAGGUGCAGGUCGGGACCUGCUGUGAGAGUACCUGAAGAAAAAGCAUCGGCUAACUCCGUUCCAGCAGCCGCGGUAAUACGGAGGAUGCGAGCGUUAUCCGGAUUUAUUGGGUUUAAAGGGUGCGCAGGCGGAGGCACAAGUCAGCGGUAAAAUCGCGGGGCUCAACCCCGCUCCGCCGUUGAAACUGUGUCCCUUGAGUGCGCGAAGGGUAGGCGGAAUGCGUGGUGUAGCGGUGAAAUGCAUAGAUAUAAGGAAGAACACCAGUGGCGAAGGCGGAUUACUGGACGAUAACUGACGGUGAGGCGCGAAAGCGUGGGGAGCAAACAGGAUUAGAUACCCUAGUAGUC
rnacentral:rRNA from 1 species